rnacentral:rRNA from 1 species
UACGAAGGGGGCUAGCGUUGUUCGGAAUUACUGGGCGUAAAGGGCGCGUAGGCGGCGUGUCAAGUCAGGCGUGAAAGCCCCGGGCUCAACCUGGGAACCGCGCUUGAGACUGGCAUGCUCGAGUUCGGGAGAGGAUGGUGGAAUUCCCAGUGUAGAGGUGAAAUUCGUAGAUAUUGGGAAGAACACCGAUGGCGAAGGCAGCCACCUGGACCGACACUGACGCUGAGGCGCGAAAGCGUGGGGAGCAAACAGG